rnacentral:rRNA from 1 species
AUGAACGCUGGCGGCAGGCCUAACACAUGCAAGUCGAACGGGCACUUUCGGGUGCUAGUGGCGGACGGGUGAGUAACGCGUGGGAACAUACCCUAUGGUUCGGAAUAGCCCCGGGAAACUGGGAGUAAUACCGGAUACGCCCUUCGGGGGAAAGAUUUAUCGCCAAAGGAUUGGCCCGCGUUGGAUUAGGUAGUUGGCGGGGUAAUGGCCUACCAAGCCGACGAUCCAUAGCUGGUUUGAGAGGAUGAUCAGCCACACUGGGACUGAGACACGGCCCAGACUCCUACGGGAGGCAGCAGUGGGGAAUCUUAGACAAUGGGGGAAACCCUGAUCUAGCCAUGCCGCGUGAUCGAUGAAGGCCUUAGGGUUGUAAAGAUCUUUCAGAUGGGAAGAUAAUGACGGUACCAUCAGAAGAAGCCCCGGCUAACUCCGU